GUGGGGAAUCUUGCGCAAUGGGCGAAAGCCUGACGCAGCCAUGCCGCGUGAAUGAUGAAGGUCUUAGGAUUGUAAAAUUCUUUCACCGGGGAAGAUAAUGACUGUACCCACAGAAGAAGCCCCGGCUAACUCCGUGCCAGCAGCCGCGGUAAUACGGAGGGGGCUAGCGUUGUUCGGAAUUACUGGGCGUAAAGCGCACGUAGGCGGAACAGAAAGUCAGAGGUGAAAUCCCAGGGCUCAACCUUGGAACUGCCUUUGAAACUCCUGUUCUUGAGUUCGAGAGAGGUGAGUGGAAUUCCGAGUGUAGAGGUGAAAUUCGUAGAUAUUCGGAGGAACACCAGUGGCGAAGGCGGCUCACUGGCUCGAUACUGACGCUGAGGUGCGAAAGCGUGGGGAGCAAACAGGAUUAGAAACCCGAGUAGUCC
rnacentral:rRNA from 1 species